UCUGUUUUACAUUUUAAGUCUUGGUCUCAGUAGAAGAUGCGUCCCUGAAACGUGGCAGAGCACUGAAACUGUUUCCAGAUCACUCGUUUGCCCACGGAACUUCCUGCUGCUAAGAUUCAAAAACACGUUACCAAGUUCUGCUGCCCUAUGAAUGAAAAUGUGUUCUAAUAUUUUCAGAAUAAGCUGGUAGCCUGGCACUCGGAUCAAAGACUCAGUAACCAGAUGGGCUGUAUUUACUGAG